ACGGGUGCGUAACACGUGGGAAUCUGCCCUUGGGUUCGGAAUAACAGUUGGAAACGACUGCUAAUACCGGAUGAUGACGUAAGUCCAAAGAUUUAUCGCCCAAGGAUGAGCCCGCGUCGGAUUAGCUAGUUGGUGGGGUAAAGGCCUACCAAGGCGACGAUCCGUAGCUGGUCUGAGAGGAUGAUCAGCCACACUGGGACUGAGACACGGCCCAGACUCCUACGGGAGGCAGCAGUGGGGAAUAUUGGACAAUGGGCGAAAGCCUGAUCCAGCAAUGCCGCGUGAGUGAUGAAGGCCUUAGGGUUGUAAAGCUCUUUUACCCGGGAAGAUAAUGACUGUACCGGGAGAAUAAGCCCCGGCUAACUCCGUGCCAGCAGCCGCGGUAAUACGGAGGGGGCUAGCGUUGUUCGGAAUUACUGGGCGUAAAGCGCACGUAGGCGGCUUUGUAAGUAAGAGGUGAAAGCCUGGAGCUCAACUCCAGAACUGCCUUUUAGACUGCAUCGCUUGAAUCCAGGAGAGGUGAGUGGAAUUCCGAGUGUAGAGGUGAAAUUCGUAGA
rnacentral:rRNA from 1 species